GAUGAACGCUGGCGGCGUGCCUAAUACAUGCAAGUCGAGCGAACAGAUGAGGAGCUUGCUCCUCUGACGUUAGCGGCGGACGGGUGAGUAACACGUGGAUAACCUACCUAUAAGACUGGGAUAACUUCGGGAAACCGGAGCUAAUACCGGAUAAUAUAUUGAACCGCAUGGUUCAAUAGUGAAAGACGGUUUUGCUGUCACUUAUAGAUGGAUCCGCGCCGCAUUAGCUAGUUGGUAAGGUAACGGCUUACCAAGGCAACGCUGCGUAGCCGACCUGAGAGGGGGAUCGGCCACACUGGAACUGAGACACGGUCCAGACUCCUACGGGAGGCAGCAGUAGGGAAUCUUCCGCAAUGGGCGAAAGCCUGACGGAGCAACGCCGCGUGAGUGAUGAAGGUCUUCGGAUCGUAAAACUCUGUUAUUAGGGAAGAACAAAUGUGUAAGUAACUAUGCACGUCUUGACGGUACCUAAUCAGAAAGCCACGGCUAACUACGUG
rnacentral:rRNA from 1 species